rnacentral:snoRNA from 2 species
UGGCUAUGAUUAGAAUAUUUAUCCGCGCUUCUGAGAGUAAUCUAUGAAGUAUAUGAUAAAAAAUGGUUGAAUUUCUUAAUAUGAGCCU